GGGGGAUGGUUUAGUUGGAAAAACGCUGAUUUGCCAAAUCAGAGACGUAGGUUCGAACCCUUGCUCCUCCACAA
rnacentral:tRNA from 1 species